rnacentral:rRNA from 1 species
UAGGGAAUAUUGCACAAUGGGCGAAAGCCUGAUGCAGCAACGCCGCGUGCGCGAUGAAGGCCUUCGGGUCGUAAAGCGCUUUUCGGGGAGAUGAGGAAGGACAGUAUCCCCGGAAUAAGGCUCGGCUAACUACGUGCCAGCAGCCGCGGUAAAACGUAGGAGCCAAGCGUUAUCCGAAUUCACUGGGCGUAAGCGUGUGCAGGCGGUCGCAUAAGUUUGAUGUGAAAUCUCCUGGCUCAACGGGGAGAGGCCGUUGAAUACUGUGUGACUAGAGGGCAACAGAGGGAGGUGGAAUUCCCGGUGGAGUGGUGAAAUGCGUAGAUAUCGGGAGGAACACCAGUGGCGAAAGCGGCCUCCUGGGUUGAACCUGACGCUCAGACACGAAAGCUAGGGGAGCGAACGG